rnacentral:lncRNA from 1 species
CAGACACUCCACUGUCGUACAUCCACGCGAGAAUCCUGACACUGAAUCGCUCUCUCCCUCCAAGAUAUAUUUCUCUAGCACGCAGGUUUAAUAUCAGGAAAUUAAGUAUUGUGUUAUAUUACGUCAUUCAGAGAAUCAAAAUAAGCCAACUGAGACAUGAUGGUAAAUUGUGCGCCCGCCUCCUUACAAAUCGCAGCAGAGCAGACAGGUGUCGAAGCUGAUCUGGACCAGUGAGAGAGGGAAGAAGAGAAGAAGUGAACCUUUCAGAAUUCGGCUCACAAAAGCAUGCCCAUUGUUGGAGAAGAAACAGAUCGUGAGGGACAGUCAUUAAUAUUUCCCAUAAGGAAUAACCACUCCUCUGUUUUAAAUGCCUGUGACGAGAUGUGAAUGGAGAUAAUUGACUGAACCCCAAAUCUCCCCCCUGGAACCAAUAAUAAUA